rnacentral:rRNA from 1 species
GACGAACGCUGGCGGCGUGCUUAACACAUGCAAGUCGAACGGAAAGGCCCUGCUUUUGUGGGGUGCUCGAGUGGCGAACGGGUGAGUAACACGUGAGUAACCUGCCCUUGACUUUGGGAUAACUUCAGGAAACUGGGGCUAAUACCGGAUAGGAGCUCCUGCUGCAUGGGGGGGGUUGGAAAGUUUCGGCGGUUGGGGAUGGACUCGCGGCUUAUCAGCUUGUUGGUGGGGUAGUGGCUUACCAAGGCUUUGAAGGGUAGCCGGCCUGGGAGGGUGACCGGCCACAUUGGGACUGAGGUACGGCCCAGCCUCCUACGGGAGGCAGCAGUGGGGAAUAUUGCACAAUGGGCGGAAGCCUGAUGCAGCAACGCCGCGUGCGGGAUGACGGCCUUCGGGUUGUAAACCGCUUUCGCCUGUGACGAAGCGUGAGUGACGGUAAUGGGUAAAGAAGCACCGGCUAACUACGUG